UGUGUCUUUGCGCUAACUCCUGCCCAUUCAAAUGGCAGUGCUAGAGAGAGAGAGAGAGAGGAAGUGGAAAGUUUCUUUCUACAUCAGCCAAAGAUAAACACAACAGACACAACCAGCAAGCUAUUGCUUGUAACAGAUAAACUGUUGUGGAAGCAGGGACCACAUUUUCUGGAAAUGUCUACAGAACAAGCAUCAUUAUAAGUUAUUGGCUCUAAAUGAACUCCAAGCGAAAAGAGAAAACAAAGUGAGAAAAAGACUGCCCAUAACUAAUUCAGAUACCCGAUCAACAUUGGAAUUCAUUUUGAAAGGUGGUAACCAUUGAAAGAUCUGAAAGGGUGGAAAAGUGACACCAAAAUGGCCACCAUUCUCAUGGACAGGGAGAUACUGCUGGAGUCUGAUUUCGAGGAACCUGGCUGAGGCUGUAAGUGGUGUGGAAUUGCAAAACUUAAUGCUAAGAGGACCUGAGCCCUAGGACCAUGCCUCAGGACUACCUGGCAUGAUGACUCCUUGCUGUCCCCAGUCCACCUGGCCAUGCUGCUGCUCCAGUUUCAACUGUUCUGCCUGCGGCUAUGGAACCCUGACCUGUUCACCGGACGUGCUUGUUGCACCCUCG
rnacentral:lncRNA from 1 species